rnacentral:rRNA from 1 species
GACGAACGCUGGCGGCGUGCCUAAUACAUGCAAGUCGAACGCACAGUUUAUACCGUAGCUUGCUACACCAUAAACUGUGAGUUGCGAACGGGUGAGUAACGCGUAGGUAACCUGCCUGGUAGCGGGGGAUAACUAUUGGAAACGAUAGAUAAUACCGCAUAAUAUUGAUUAUUGCAUGAUAAUUGAUUGAAAGCUGCUAUUGCAUCACUACCAGAUGGUCCUGCGUUGUAUUAGCUAGUAGGUGAGGUAACGGCUCACCUAGGCGACGAUACAUAGCCGACCUUGGAGGGUGAUCGGCCACACUGGGACUGGGACACGGCCCAGACUCCUACGGGAGGCAGCAGUAGGGAAUCUUCGGCAAUGGACGGAAGUCUGACCGAGCAACGCCGCGUGAGUGAAGAAGGUUUUCGGAUCGUAAAGCUCUGUUGUAAGAGAAGAACGGGUGUGAGAGUGGAAAGUUCACACUGUGACGGUAUCUUACCAGAAAGGGACGGCUAACUACGUG